rnacentral:rRNA from 1 species
CAGGCCUAACACAUGCAAGUCGAGCGCGCCUUCGGGUGAGCGGCGGACGGGUUAGUAACGCGUGGGAACGUGCCCUUUUCUACGGAAUAGCCUCUGGAAACGGAGAGUAAUACCGUAUACGCCCUUUGGGGGAAAGAUUUAUCGGAGAAGGAUCGGCCCGCGUUAGAUUAGGUAGUUGGUGGGGUAACGGCCUACCAAGCCUACGAUCUAUAGCUGGUUUUAGAGGAUGAUCAGCAACACUGGGACUGAGACACGGCCCAGACUCCUACGGGAGGCAGCAGUGGGGAAUCUUAGACAAUGGGGGCAACCCUGAUCUAGCCAUGCCGCGUGAGUGAUGAAGGCCUUAGGGUCGUAAAGCUCUUUCGCCUGUGAUGAUAAUGACAGUAGCAGGUAAAGAAACCCCGGCUAACUCCGUGCCAGCAGCCGCGGUAAUACGGAGGGGGUUAGCGUUGUUCGGAAUUACUGGGCGUAAAGCGCGCGUAGGCGGAUUAGAAAGUUGGGGGUGAAAUCCCGGGGCUCAACCUCGGAACUGCCUCCAAAACUGCUAGUCUAGAGUUCGAGAGAGGUGAGUGGAAUUCCGAGUGUAGAGGUGAAAUUCGUAGAUAUUCGGAGGAACACCAGUGGCGAAGGCGGCUCACUGGCUCGAUAC